GGACGAGCUCGGCAGCAUCUGAAAGCCGUCACGGUCAACGCCCAUGCCCUCGGUGUCUUCGUCGGUCUCGGACAUGUGCAGCUCAUCCAUGGCGGCCGCGCCGUCCUGCUGGCCACGGUGGUGGACGCAGUGCCGUCUGGGUGAGGGAGGGGU
rnacentral:SRP_RNA from 14 species